UUUAGCUGUUCUUCACCUAUAAAUAAGGUUCAUAUUCAUCUUCUUAAUCAUCUUUAAGAAUUAAAAAUCAAUAGUGAGUGUUUCAAAACAAAGUAUCUGCGUUUUUCAUCCCAGGAUAUUGAAGAUAUUUACUUCAAAAUGGACGACAAGGAUAAUGAUCACUGCUUUGUUAUUGGAGGCUCUUCUUCAAGUGAAGUUGUCAAAAGCAUAGCUUCAAGCACAUGAGUGAAAAAAGAGGAUAUUGGUAUAAAAACAUAGGUUAGGACUAAACUAUACACAAAAUUAAUGUUCUUGCAUUAUUUUGAUGAAAACAAUGUACUAUAAUUUAUGUAUUCGAUAUUUAACAUUUUCUUUUCCAGUGGGUGUGAUUUUUACCGUGAUAUAAAAUCUCAUAUCAAUUAGGGUCUGAUGCAAUUGUGGGUACUACUAUGACUAAUAUAUUUCAACUGUAUCACUAGAUGCG